rnacentral:rRNA from 1 species
CCCUUAGAUGUUCUGGGCCGCACGCGCGCUACACUGGUACGUUCAACAAGUUUACAACCUUGAUCGAUAGGUCUGGGUAAUCUUUUUAAUGCGUACCGUGCUAGGGAUAGAUUAUUGCAAUUAUUAAUCUUGAACGAGGAGUUCCUAGUAAACGCAAGUCAUCAGCUUGCAUUGAUUACGUCCCUGCCCUUUGUACACACCGCCCGUCGCACCUACUGAUUGAAUGACUCGGUGAAAAAUUGGGACUGUGAGAACAAUCGAUUCAGUUCGAAUGUACUCGUGGAAACUUUUUUUAACCUCGCCAUUUAGAAGAAGGUGAAGUCGUANCA